UGUGGCAGAAAUAAAAUGCAAUGAAUUUAAGAUUCAUUUAUAAAGAAUACUCUUUCCUUAGAA
rnacentral:tRNA from 1 species